GGGGAUUUAGCUCAAUGGAAGAGCACUUGUCUAUCAUGCAUGAGGCCUUGGGUUCAAUCCCUA
rnacentral:tRNA from 1 species